UGGACCUGACACUGGCCCGGGUUACGAGCACGUGGUCAACCUGGCCUGCAGUCUCAUGCAGCUGCGUCACCAUGCCUACGUGACGUAGCAGCAAGUGGCGGAGAUUGUCUCCCUCUGGAAACGAUUGCCGAAGGGUGACAAGGCCCCAGUCCACAUCCCACCACGCCACCAGCAAAGACUGGUGAAGGGGCGGUUCUGACGCAAGCACUCGCAGACCUGUGUCACACCGGGAGUGGAGAGCUUGCAAUGGUGCAUGGUUGGCCAAUGCGGCCAAGCCGCACAGAGGCCAAAUAUCAGCCGCCUUGUGGAUGCCUUUGAUACAGAGCUGUCCAGGAUUAACCCCGAAGGAACCACCAUCUGCGGCGUGUGGGUGAACCGCUGGGCAGCAGUCAUCCAAGAUUAUAUCUGCAUUCAGGAGAAUCUACUUACAAACCCGGUACUCGUGGCCCAGAAACGCAUCCAGCUAUUCCUCCUCAAUCAGAGCACCCAGGCACAAUGAUUGGUGUAGUCGGCAGGAUAGAAUCCCGAAGAUGACAGAAGGGCAGGACAUAAAUGCAGUGUUAAAUACCCUGGUGACUGAACUCCAGACGGUCAAGCUGGACCAGGCCAACACACAGAGGGAGCUCGCACAGACGAGACGACGAUUGGCAGCCGCUGAAGCUGCGAGACCGGAUCUCACACGAUCUCUACAUCCUCAGAUUGUUCCCCUUACAGAGACUGAUGAUAUAGAAGCCUAUCUGACUGUGUUCAAGAGAACCGCGGCCAGAAACCAGUGGCCAGGGGCGGAGUGGGCAUCCAUCUUGGCUCCCUACCUGAAGGGUCCAGUGCAGCGAGCCUAUCACGACCUCCCUGAGGAAGAGGCCGCCCAAUACGACCUCCUGCGAGCCGAGCUAUACAAACACUACGGCAUUACCUUCGGCCAGCAGGCAAGGGUAUGGCGGCCCUGGCGGUUCAAACCAGAGCUUCCAGCUGGGGCCCAGGCGUUCGAAUUCUGAGGAAAACUUGGCCGACGGCUACGGCCAGAUGUUAAUCAAGCCCGCCAGGUGGUUGGACAAGUAGCCUGUGAGGCGUUAAUACACGCCAUGCCGGACUACCUCGCCCAGCAUGUCCGGAGGCAUCCCUUUCGCGAUAUGAACGGGCUCCUGGAGGGCUUAGAGUGCCAACUGGUGGUUAACCAACUUGGGGGGUCUGAGAAGCCUACUCGCAUGGCCUGGCAGGGACAGGUUGCCCCACAGGAGCCCUCCCGUCAUGCUGUCCUCACGGAGCCGCCAGCAAAGACCAAAGACCAGGUGCUCACCCCGCCACGCUGUUUCAAGUGUGGCGAAGUGGGGCAUAUUCUUCCCACCUGUCCCCUCAAUGCAGAACCGAUGAACUGUAGCUAACCGAGAGGAGAGGUACUGUGCACCGUCAAACCCUCUGGCACUUACGAAUACGGGAAUAAUGUUGAUUAAUGGGCACUCGGUGAUGGCUUUGUUUGAUUUCGGGAUCAAUAUCACCAUUGUUGCUCACUGUUAUGUUUUACCGCGACAAUGGCUUGCUAAAAGGUUUAAUAUAACAUGUGUGCACGCAAGGUGUUAUAUAACAUGGAGGGGGUAUCCGAAAUAGCUUUUGGUUGUGGUGUUGCAUGAACCCCCCUUUCCGGUUAUAUUGGGACAAGAUUGGUCUAAAAAUAACUGCGGUAAAGCUGUGCCCACUCCCAUACACAAACUGGGUCUACUUAUGGAUGGUCAGGGGACCCUUCCAACUGCUCCCAUGCCGUGCUCAUCAGCAAUUGAUGACGUGGGCGGCCCGGGGGUACACCUUUCAGGGACGGACACCGAUCCGGAAGUACAACCGGGUGAGGUUACGUCACGGGAGGACACCACUCCGCGUUUGGGACCUGAUAUUUUGGCCGGCCUGGAUUUCCAAUUUCGCUCCAUGCCAGCAUCAUUUAAAAGAGAACAGUGGAAUGACGAUGCCUUGAAGUUUGCCCCGAAUGCUGUUGUAUCUGCAGACGACCUGGCGUCAUAAGAUUCCACACCACCGGGACCCUACUUUGUCCUAGAAAAUGAUUUGUUAUAUCGAGUUGCACAGGAACACGAAGGCAAGGUAUGGAAGUUGUUGUUAGUGCCGUGAACCUAACGACCUAGCACAUGCCCAGCUCUUAGAUGCCCACCUUGGGGCCAAAAAAAUGUUGGAGAGAAUUAAACUCCGAUUUUAUUGGACCGGGAUCAAUGAGGAGGUCUGCCAGUCUUGUCCAGUCUGUCAGUUACGCCAGAUUCCCAGGAGGGACCGAGCUCCUCUAAUCCCGAUUCCCCUUAUUGAUGUGCCCUUUGAACGGAUCGGAGUCAAUCUCAUUGGACCCCUAGACCCUUUGGCCAGAGGCCAUAAAUAUAUAUUGGUGAUGGUGGAUUAUGCAACACGGUAUCCUGAAGCAGUUCCCUUGAGAGCUGCUAAUACAAAAAAUAUCACAUGGGAAUUAGUAGGAUUUUUUUCCCGAGUGGGUACACCUAAAGAAAUCCUCACAGAUCCACCCUUUACUUCGGAUACAUACAGGGAGGUGGCCAAGUUACUCCAUAUUAAGCAUCUUAAAAUGUCUGUUUAUCACCCUCAGUCGGAUGGGUUGGUGGAAAGAUUUAACCAAACCCUUAAACAGAUGCUCCAUAAGGUAGUCAAUACGGACGGAAGGAACUAGGACCAGCUUCUACCUUUAGUACUUUUUGCAUAUCGGGAGGUACCUCAAGCCUCCUCGGGGAUUUCCCCAUUUGAACGUUUAUAUGGGCGCCAGCCCCGGGGCAUUUUGGAUUUACUAAAAGAAGAUUGGGAGGGGGAGGCACUUCCCAACACAAGUCUAUUGGAAUAUAUCGCGCAAUUACGCAAUCGAUUAGACAAAAUCAGACCUAUAUUAAAAGAUCACAUGUCUCGGGCUCAAGCAGAGGAGGCCUGGAAUUAUAAUAGGAACUACUUCCUUCGCAAAUUUCAGCUGGGAGAUUGUGUACUGGUGCUCCGGUAGGAGAUUGCCGGAGCACACCUGGAGCCCCUUCAUGUGGGGACUAGAGUCGGGAGAGGGAAGAAUGAGGUCUGGAAGGAGGCAAAGAGGCAGCCUGAAGAAGAGAAGGCAUUGUGUGGUGUUGGCCAGGACUUUGGGGACUUGGGAUUUGUGAGCACUUUAUUAACUAUAAAUAGAAUGUAUAAUAAACGUG